rnacentral:rRNA from 1 species
UACAGAGGGGGCAAGCGUUAUUCGGAAUUAUUGGGCGUAAAGGGCGCGUAGGCGGCCUGGCAAGUGGAAGGUGAAAUCCCUCGGCUUAACCGAGGAACUGCCCUCCAAACUGCUUGGCUUGAGUCCGGGAGAGGCGAGUGGAAUUCCCAGUGUAGCGGUGAAAUGCGUAGAUAUUGGGAGGAACACCUGUGGCGAAAGCGGCGCACUGGACCACAACUGACGCUGAGGCGCGAAAGCUAGGGGAGCAAACAGG